ACGUAGGGUGCGAGCGUUAAUCGGAAUUACUGGGCGUAAAGCGUGCGCAGGCGGUUUUGUAAGUCGGAUGUGAAAUCCCCGGGCUCAACCUGGGAACUGCGUUCGAGACUGCAAGGCUAGAGUGUGUCAGAGGGGGGUAGAAUUCCACGUGUAGCAGUGAAAUGCGUAGAGAUGUGGAGGAAUACCAAUGGCGAAGGCAGCCCCCUGGGAUAACACUGACGCUCAUGCACGAAAGCGUGGGGAGCAAACAGGAUUAGAUACCCUGGUAGUCCACGCCCUAAACGAUGUCAACUAGUUGUUGGUAGAGUAAAAUCUAUGAGUAACGUAGCUAACGCGUGAAGUUGACCGCCUGGGGAGUACGGUCGCAAGAUUA
rnacentral:rRNA from 1 species